GACGAACGCUGGCGGCGUGCUUAACACAUGCAAGUCGAACGGAAAGGCACUGCUUGUGUGGGGUGCUGGAGUGGCGAAGGGGGGAGGAACACGUGAGUAACCGGCCCUUGACUUUGGGAGAACUUAAGGAAACUGGGGCUAAGAUCGGAUAGGAUCUCCUGCUGGAGGGUGGGGGGUGGAAAGUUGCGGCGGUUGGGGAUGGACGCGCGGCUUAUGAGCUUGCUGGUGGGGUAGUGGCUUACCAAGGAUUUGACGGGUAGCCGGCCUGAGAGGGUGACCGGCCACAUUGGGCCUGAGAGACGGCCCAUACGGCUUCGGGAGGCAGGAGUGGGGAAUUUUGCCAGCUGGGCCGCAGCCUGAUGGAGGACCGCCGGGUGCGGGAUCCCGGCUGUCGGGUUGGAAACCGCUUUCGCUUGUGACGAAGCGUGAUUGACGUUACUGGGUAAUGAGGCACGGCUUACUUAGUU
rnacentral:rRNA from 1 species